GCUUCACGUCUGGAUCGCUCUCCACCAAGACGAAAAGAAUGAGAGAUUGGAGAAGCAAGCAGAGAUCAAGAGAGUCCGGGAGGAGUUAUUGCAACAAGCCAAACAUAGGGACCCUCUCGCUUGACUGUUGCGUUGUGCUGUGAUGCCGGUGGCACUUUUCUCUUAAAUUCCUGUUUUUUCUUGAAUUUUUAAGUUGCAGAGUUGAUAGAAUUAUAAUAAUCAAGUUAUCUGUUUUAA